rnacentral:rRNA from 1 species
CCUACGGGUGGCAGCAGUCGAGAAUCAUUCACAAUGGGGGAAACCCUGAUCGUGCGACGCCGCGUGAGGGAAUGAAGGUCUUCGGAUGUUAAACUCUUUUCAUGUGGGAGCAAAUUAAAAAGAUAGUACCACAAGAGGAAGAGACUGCCAACUCUGUGCCAGCCGCCGCGGUAAUACGGAGGUCGCAAGCGUUGUUCGGAAUCACUGGGCGUAAAGCGUGCGUAGGCUGUUUCGUAAGUCGUGUGUGAAAGGCGCGGGCUCAACCCGCGGACGGCACAUGAUACUGCGGGACUAGAGUGAUGGAGGGGGAACCGGAAUUCCCGGUGUAGCAGUGAAAUGCGUAGAUAUCGGGAGGAACACUCGUGGCGAAGGCGGGUUCCUGGACAUUAACUGACGCUGAGGCACGAAAGCAUGGGGAGCAAACAGGAUUAGAUACCCCAGUAGUC